UACGUAGGGUGCAAGCGUUGUCCGGAAUUAUUGGGCGUAAAGAGCUCGUAGGCGGUCUGUCGCGUCUGCUGUGAAAACCCGGGGCUCAACCCCGGGCUUGCAGUGGAUACGGGCAGACUAGAGUUCGGUAGGGGAGACUGGAAUUCCUGGUGUAGCGGUGAAAUGCGCAGAUAUCAGGAGGAACACCGGUGGCGAAGGCGGGUCUCUGGACCGAUACUGACGCUGAGGAGCGAAAGCGUGGGGAGCGAACAGG
rnacentral:rRNA from 1 species